GGGCACUUAGCUCAGCUGGUUAGAGCGACUGCUUUACACGCAGUAGGCCGGGGGUUCGAUCCCCUCAGUGCCCA
rnacentral:tRNA from 1 species